rnacentral:rRNA from 1 species
GACGAACGCUGGCGGCGUGCUUAACACAUGCAAGUCGAACGGGCCUUGUCCCCUUUUUUUUGGGGGUGGGGUUAGUGGCGAACGGGUGAGUAACACGUGAGUAACCUGCCCCUCACUUCUGGAUAACCGCUUGAAAGGGUGGCUAAUACGGGGUGUUCUGGCCUGCUCGCAUGGGUGGGUUUGGAAAGAUUCGACCGGUUUGGUUGUUUUGGUGGGGGAUGGGCUCGCGGCCUAUCAGCUUGUUGGUGGGGUGAUGGCCUGCCAAGGCUUUGACGGGUAGCCGGCCUGAGAGGGUGGGCGGUCACACUGGGACUGAGACACGGCCCAGACUCCUACGGGAGGCAGCAGUGGGGAAUAUUGCACAAUGGGCGCAAGCCUGAUGCAGCGACGCCGCGUGAGGGAUGGAGGCCUUCGGGUUGUGAACCUCUUUCGCCAGUGAAGAAGGUCCUGCUCUUUGUGGUGGGGUUGACGGUAGCUGGGUUAAUGAAGCGCCGGCUAACUACGU